rnacentral:rRNA from 1 species
AACGAACGCUGGCGGCGUGGAUAAGACAUGCAAGUCGAGCGCUGAUUCAAGGGUAGCAAUAUUCUUGAGUCGGAGCGGCGCAAGGGUGCGUAACACGUGGGUAAUUUGCCAUGAAGUCUGGAAUAACUUGCUGAAAGGCGAGCUAAUGCCGGAUGUGAUUUUCGGGAAGCAUUUCCUGAAACUACAAAGUUAGGGGACCGGUAAAGGCCUGACGCUUCUUGAUAAGCCCGCGGCCU